rnacentral:rRNA from 1 species
GACGUAGGGCGCGAGCGUUGUCCGGAUUUAUUGGGCGUAAAGAGCUCGUAGGCGGCUCGUUGCGUCGGCUGUGAAAACCCGCAGCUCAACUGUGGGCUUGCAGCCGAUACGGGCGGGCUUGAGUUCGGUAGGGGAGACUGGAAUUCCUGGUGUAGCGGUGAAAUGCGCAGAUAUCAGGAGGAACACCGGUGGCGAAGGCGGGUCUCUGGGCCGAAACUGACACUGAAGCGCGAAAGCUAGGGGGAGCAAACGGG